rnacentral:rRNA from 1 species
AACGAAAUCUUUCGGGAUUUAGUGGCGGACGGGUGAGUAACGCGUGAGAAUCUGGCUUCAGGUUUGGGACAACCACUGGAAACGGUGGCUAAUACCGGAUGUGCCGCAAGGUGAAAGGCUUGCCGCCUGAAGAUGAGCUCGCGUCUGAUUAGCUAGUAGGUGGGGUAAAAGCCUACCUAGGCGACGAUCAGUAGCUGGUCUGAGAGGAUGAUCAGCCACACUGGGACUGAGACACGGCCCAGACUCCUACGGGAGGCAGCAGUGGGGAAUUUUCCGCAAUGGGCGAAAGCCUGACGGAGCAAUACCGCGUGAGGGAGGAAGGCUCUUGGGUUGUAAACCUCUUUUCUCAGGGAAGAAAAAAAUGACGGUACCUGAGGAAUAAGCAUCGGCUAACUCCGUGCCAGCAGCCGCGGUAAUACGGAGGAUGCAAGCGUUAUCCGGAAUGAUUGGGCGUAAAGCGUCCGCAGGUGGCUGUGUGUGUCUGCUGUUAAAGAGUCAUGCUUAACAUGAUAAAGGCAGUGGAAACUACACGGCUAGAGUGCGUUCGGGGCAGAGGGAAUUCCUGGUGUAGCGGUGAAAUGCGUAGAGAUCAGGAAGAACACCGGUGGCGAAAGCGCUCUGCUAGGCCGCAACUGACACUGAGGGACGAAAGCUAGGGGAGCGAAUGGGAUUAGAUACCCCAGUAGUCCUAGCCGUAAACGAUGGAUACUAGGCGUGGCUUGUAUCGACCCGAGCCGUGCCGAAGC